UGGCCCUUUUUAACCAGGUUUUCCGAAGGAAAAAACUGGUUAUUAGAUUGGCGAAUGCGGGCAGGCUGGCUGGCUGGCGGGCUGGCUGGCUGGCGGGCUGGCGGAAUAAGCUUGUCCGGGCCAUAACUAUGUCGUUCAUUGUCAGAUUUUAAAAUCAUUUGGCACAUUUGUUCACCAUCAUUGGACGGUGUGUCGCGCGAAAUAAUUACGUCGAUAUCUCCAAGGUCAAGGUCACACUUCGAGUUCAAAGGUCAAAAAUGGCCAUAAAUGAGCUUGUCCUGGCCAUAACUAUGUCAUUCAUUGUGAGAUUUUAAAAUCAUUUGGCACAUUUGUUCACCAUCAUGGUACGGUGUGUCCCACGAAAGAAUCACGUCAAUAUCUCCAAUGUCAAGGUCGCCACGACUAAAAAUAGAUUUAAAAAAAAAAAAAAAACUUACAAAGGGGGUUAAUUUUUUUUGGUCAUUUCAAAAGUUCAGUUUGAGUUUUCUCCCUUUAUCAGAUUUUUUUUUCACAAUGAAAACCUGGUUUUGUGACAAUUUUGUCCCUUGUUCCACUUAGAAUAUGCAGCAAAUGUUAAAGUUUUCGAACUACCCCAUUUAUUUUCAUUGUCCCUUGACAUAUUGCUUUCAUAUUUUGCAUACUUGUUUACCAACAUCACCCCAACCUAUAAACAAGAGCAGACAACUCUAUCAAGCAUUUUGUCAAAAUUAUUGCCCCUUUUAUACUUAGAAUAUGCAUAUUAUUGAUAAAUCUAUGUUAAAGUUUGCAUACUACCCCAAAUAUUUCCUAAAUCCUUUGACAUAAUGCUUUUAUAUGUUGCAUACUUGUUUACCAACAUGACCCCAACCUAUAAACAAGAGCAGACCACUGUUUCAAGCAUUUUUACAUAAUUAUGGCCCCUUUUACACUUAGAUAAUUGAACAUUUUGCUUAAAUUGCCAUAACUUCUUUAUUUAUGAUCACAUUUUAU